rnacentral:misc_RNA from 1 species
AGAAAACCUCCGUCAACUGUC